rnacentral:RNase_P_RNA from 1 species
GUUGUCGGCCGGACGGUCGCGAUGUGUGGCGCUUCGGCGCUGUGCACCGAGGAAAGUCCGGGCUCCACAGGGUAGACUGCCAGGUAACGCCUGGGCGCAUGCGGCGUGAGCGGUAUGCGACGGACAGUGCAACAGAAAACAAACCGCCGCCGUGCAAACGGCGGUAAGGGUGAAAUGGUGGGGUAAGAGCCCACCGCGUCAUCGGUAACGGUGACGGCUCGGUAAACCCCAGUCGGAGCAAGGCCAAAUAGGCGGCGAGAGACGGCCCGUCUCGACAACGGUGCUUCACGGCAUCGAGCCGCGGGUAGGCUGCUGGAGCGUUCGGGUGACUGAACGCCGAGAGGAAUGACCGUCCGGUAUGUAGGCGCGCAAGCGCACGCAUGCUGACAGAACCCGGCUUACAGGCCGACAACUUCC